CUGACGCUGCUCUAUCGCCUCUUUGCCCCGCUCCGUUCGUUCCAAACUCUGCCGCUGCCUCCCAGCUACCGCAGCCUUCACCCCCACAGUUACCUCCCAACCGCCACGGCCGUUAGUGCCGCCGCCGCCAUCUUGGUUUCUCACCGUCAAGACAGGUCUGCAACCAAACGCACAAUAUCUCUGAGGUGUGCCUGUAUAUAUACUACUGGUUCUGUUUCACUGGAUCACCUUGACUAAUACCAUAGUAAAUGCCCUGCCUUUCAAGCACCAUAAUCUAUUGCCCCAAAUGAAGAUGUUGCUGGGAAGGAACAGAAUAUUUUAGCAUUUAUCUAAAGGACAUAAACUGAAGCUAUGGUGAAGCUUAGCAGAUUCGCAGGCUCCAAAGACUUUGCUUAAGAAGAGUCAGAACAGGACUUGUCCAUAUUCAUAAGGCGUGUCUGCCACACUUCCUACGGCUGGGACUGGUGCUUUUGAAGGGCUCUGACUCAGUUAGCCAGCGAUGUACAACACGAAGCAUUUAUUCUCAGCAGCCCUGAUGCUUGGGUCAGCUGAUGAGGCUCUGCUUCAGGCUGUGGGUCAGCUGGGCUCAGAAGGUCCACAGAACUUGGCUCCAGGCUCCAGAUGGCGUUCAGUUCUUCUCCACACAUCUCUCAGUCUCCUGGGACCACCAGACUGCAUGACAUGUUUUUCUCAUAAUGAUGCCAGAAGGACAAGAGGACAAGUCUGGUCACGUAAGCACGUUUCCAGCACCUGCUCUGCUCACAUCUGCCACCAUCGCCUUGGCCAAAGCAAAAUGCAUGGCAAAGCUCAAAGCCAAUGGGAGAGGAAGUGAACUCCACCUUCUAGGAAGCAGGGAGGCAAAUACAAAAUUCAGGAUGGAGAUCUGGGGUCCCAAUGUAACAUACUACAGCCUGUUCAUUUCUGGUUUGUUUUCCUGACAGUGAUUCUCUCACUUCUACAUCUGCUUUGAUGGAAAAAAAGCCAAAAAAAUAAAACACAUUCUAUCCCA